rnacentral:misc_RNA from 1 species
AACGCACAUUGCGCCCCUUGGUAUUCCGAGGGGCAUGCCUGUUCGAGCGUCAUUACAACCCUCAAGCACUGCUUGGUAUUGGGCUCCGCUGGUUUCAGCGGGCCUUAAAGUCAGUGGCAGCGCCGUCUGAGCUCUGAGCGUAGUAAAUCUCCUCGCUAUAGAGACCAGGUGGUCCCUCGCCAUCAACCCCCCCAACUUCCUAAGUUUGACCUCGGAUCAGGUAGGGAUACCCGCUGAACUUAA